AUACUGAGUAUUCCUGCUCAGUGAUAUCNAAACCGCCGCAGAAUUUUAUACUGUGCUAAGGUAGCAUAAUCACUUGUCUUCUAAUUAAAGAAUAGAAUGAACGGAAAAACGAAUUUUAGACUGUUUCAUUUUUAGUCAAUAAAAUUACCAAAAAGUAAAAACACUUUUUCAAAAAAAAAAGACGAUAAGACCCUAAAGAACUUUACUAAAGUUAAGCUGGGGCGGCAAUUUAAAAAAAUCUUAACUUACAAUUUUUCCAUCCUACUUAUAUAAUACAAUGUUACCUUAGGGAUAACAGCAUAAUUUAAUUUUACAGCUCUUAUUAAAAAUUAAGAUUAUGACCUCGAUGUUGAAUUAAAAUUCUACCUAACGAAAAAAAUUAGUAAGAAAGUCUGUUCGACUUACAAAUAUUUACAUGAUUUGAGUUCAGACCGGUGUAAACCAGGUCGGUUUCUAUCUUUUUUAAAAAUGCAUCAGUACGAAGGGACCAUAUAAUUUAUUAACAAU
rnacentral:rRNA from 1 species